AUUUUAUCUGCUACUGUUGUCACUAUCGGUGCCCUCACAAAGGCACUGACUUGGAUGCUGCAUGUGGUAAGUGCUAUUUGUUGGGGUAGUUUCAAGUGACCUGUGCUACAAGAGAAUGU
rnacentral:pre_miRNA from 8 species